rnacentral:rRNA from 1 species
GACGAACCGUGCGAACGUUGUUCGGAAUCACUGGGCUUAAAGGGCGCGUAGGCGGACUCGCCAGUCUGUGGUGAAAGCCCCCGGCUCAACCGGGGAAGUGCCGUGGAUACUGCGAGUCUGGAGGAGGGUAGGGGCAUCUGGAACGCUGGGUGGAGCGGUGAAAUGCGUUGAUAUCCAGCGGAACUCCGGUGGCGAAGGCGAGGUGCUGGACCCUUUCUGACGCUGAGUGCGCGAAAGCCAGGGGAGCAAACGGG